rnacentral:rRNA from 1 species
ACACGGAGGGCGCAAGCGUUGCUCGGAAUCACUGGGCGUAAAGCGGGUGUAGGCGGUCUAGCAAGUCAGAUGUGAAAGCCCACGGCUCAACCGUGGAAGUGCAUCUGAAACUGCUAGACUUGAGUGCCGGAGAGGGAAGUGGAAUUCCUGGUGUAGGGGUGAAAUCCGUAGAUAUCAGGAGGAACACCGGUGGCGAAGGCGACUUCCUGGACGGCCACUGACGCUGAGACCCGAAAGCGUGGGGAGCAAACAGAAUUAGAUACCCUAGUAGUCC